rnacentral:rRNA from 1 species
GUCUACGACCAUACCACCCGGAAAACACCGGUUCUCGUCUGACCACCGCAGUUAAGCCUGGCCGGGCGAAGUUAGUACUUGGAUGGGUGACCGCCUGGGAAUACUUCGUGUUGUAGACU